GACGAACGCUGGCGGCGUGCCUAAUACAUGCAAGUUGAGCGCUGAAGGUUGGUACUUGUACCAACUGGAUGAGCAGCGAACGGGUGAGUAACGCGUGGGGAAUCUGCCUUUGAGCGGGGGACAACAUUUGGAAACGAAUGCUAAUACCGCAUAAAAGCUUUAAACACAAGUUUUAAGUUUGAAAGAUGCAAUUGCAUCACUCAAAGAUGAUCCCGCGUUGUAUUAGCUAGUUGGUGAGGUAAAGGCUCACCAAGGCGAUGAUACAUAGCCGACCUGAGAGGGUGAUCGGCCACAUUGGGACUGAGACACGGCCCAAACUCCUACGGGAGGCAGCAGUAGGGAAUCUUCGGCAAUGGACGAAAGUCUGACCGAGCAACGCCGCGUGAGUGAAGAAGGUUUUCGGAUCGUAAAACUCUGUUGGUAGAGAAGAACGUUGGUGAGAGUGGAAAGCUCAUCAAGUGACGGUAACUACCCAGAAAGGGACGGCUAACUACGUG
rnacentral:rRNA from 1 species